rnacentral:rRNA from 1 species
AUUGAACGCUGGCGGCAGGCCUAACACAUGCAAGUCGAACGAGUGGCGGACGGGUGAGUAAUGUCUGGGAAAAUGCCUGAUGGAGGGGGAUAACUACUGGAAAAGGUAGCUAAUACCGCAUACCAUCGGAUGUGCCCAGAUGGGAUUAGCUAGUAGGUGGGGUAACGGCUCACCUAGGCGACGAUCCCUUGCUGGUCUGAGAGGCUGACCCGCCAAGCUGGAACUGAGACACGGUCCAGACGCCUACAGGAGGCAGCGGUGUGGAAUAUUGCACAAGCGGCGCAAGCCUGAUGCAGUCAUGCCGGGUGUAUGAAGAAGGCCGUCGGGUGGUAAAGUACUUUCAGGGGGGAGGCGUUACCCGCAGAAGAAGCACCGGCUAACUCCGUGCCAGCCGCGGUAAUUC